ACGGCGAGCGAACCGGGAAUAGCCCAACGUGAGAAUCUGCAGGGUUGACCCCUUGCCGAAUUGUAGUCUAUAGAGGCGAUCUCUGUGUCGGGAUGGCGUCCAAGUCUUCUGGAAAGGAGCGUCAGAGAGGGUGAGAACCCCGUUGGACGCCGUUUCCGCCGCCGCACGAGACGCUUUCGCCGAGUCGGGUUGCUUGGGAAUGCAGCCCAAAGUAGGUGGUAAAUCCCAUCAAAGGCUAAAUACUGACGGGAGACCGAUAGCGAACAAGUACCGUGAGGGAAAGAUGAAAAGAACUUUGAAAAGAGAGUUAAACAGUGCUUGAAAUUGUUGAGAGGGAAGCGAUUUGGUUCAUGGUAAAGGAGUUUUGGGUGGAGAGGUUGUGUUGGUUUAUUCUGACAUGAUUGAAGCCGCUCAGAACACGCCAGCAUGGGUUUUGUGUGUGGUAUUAUAGUUUUUUAGGUUGUUGGUUCACGCCAAGCCUGAGGGUACUCAUCACAUGCAAGACCGAGGUGACAAUGGAUAGUGGAUUUAUUCCAGGGGAGCUUGCUC
rnacentral:rRNA from 1 species